CUGCCUCAGCCAGAUGAGCGUUCCAUGUGGAAUCUUCUCUCAUUAUUUAAAACUGCUACUUUGUGUUCUGAAAUUCCAGAACCCUUCCAAUGCACCACCACUCUGGCCUGAAACACAAAGACUCAGAAAAGACAGCGAGACAUUAAUCUGUAUCAUAUUCUCUCUCUCCCUCUCUCUCCUAUCCAUCAUCUACAUACAUGUUUUUUAAUACAUCCCAAGCUUCUUUUUCAUCUGUCUAUGCAGGCAAUAGACAUCAUCCGGAAAUGCCUGGCUGUGGUCACAGCUCCAGAUCUACUUACUAAGAUGCUAACCAAGACCUAUGAUGCUCAUAGACUAGCAUCAAGGCGUAGGGACUUGGUCAUGCAGCAGUGAGACAGAGGGAUUCCUUUCAGAGACACUGCAAUGGGGCCACUUAACACAGCAGAAAUAACAUUGGCUUUGGAGUCCGCUAGACUUGAGUUGGCAUUUCAGCUUUGUCACUUCCAGGCUGUGUGACUGCAGGUUGGAAGAGCCUUCACCCAUGAGGAGUACUGAAUAAAUAGACUUUCACCAUCAUUCUCCAAAGAGGUUGGGAAGGAACCACUCAUGAGGAAAGCCUGGAGGGGACAAAUUGUCAGAAUGAAGUAUGGUCCUUUGUUCAGAAUCAGAAGAGUUACCCACUCAAAUCAUAAAAUACCAGAUGAAGCUCACUUGACUAAACAGGGGUGAGCAAAUGGAAAGAAGGAAGACAUGGUGACACUGAAAAGGCCCAAGAUGUAAUCUUUCCAGGUUAAAAGAAGGCAAGUUCAUUUGGGAUCUCAGAGGUCAUACUUUUGCUAAAGCUUG